rnacentral:tRNA from 1 species
GCCUGGGUGGCUCAGUUGGUUGAGCAUCUGACUUCAGCUCAGGUCAUGAUCUCGCGGUUUGUGAGUUUGAGCCUCAUGUCGGGCU